ACCCAUGCUCAUGUGUAUUACACAGAACGACCAACGAAUGGCCUCGAUGCCCACGCACGAUGCCCACGGUUGCAAAGACGCCCCCACCCCAAAUCGUAUAUCGGUCGUGCUGCCCAGCAAGCCCUGGCCUGUACAUGCUUCCUUCAGCAUAAGGACGGGGGCGUGCGUUACAGUGUGCGGUAUAACAUGAAACACACGCUCAUAGCGCAUGCGAUACGCACAGAACGCAAAGUACUUAGCAAGCCCCACGCACGCUCUCCGCAUGCGUGCGAGGGGGCGUGCGUCGUGUAACGCAAGACGCGAGUCAGCACUCAGAGACUUGCUCAGAGACACCUUGCGAGUGGCUGAAUUCUGCACCGCAUGCGAACAGGUUUACGCGUGCGGUACGCGUGGGCCGGUUGCGUUGUGGAAUUCGCAUGGCAUAACGCGUGCGAUACGCAUACCGGUGUGCGCUGCCACACGCAAGCUGCAUCCGCUACACCCGCCUGCCGCUCCAUCCACGCACGCGAGCUACCAGCCAUUUCAGGGCAUCCAUGAACGAUUCGCUUGCGGAAGAUACAUACACCGGUUGUGGUUACAUGCCCACUGCCCAGCCGUGACCACAGGGCACAUGUUAGUUGCUAUCACAGCCGGACACCAUCCACACCGUAUCCCGCAUCCUGCUACCUAUCAACGCGCUGGUGCGCCAUGCCAGCUUGCAGCCACACCGCUACGGUACACGCGUUCGCAAUCACCCCCACCAAGUCGCUUGACUCCUGAACAGCAGCUCCUUCGCACCAUUGCACUCCUGCCUGCUGCGUCUGCGGUUAGUUCCUAUGCUGCUGUGCUUGCAGCUCCUUCGCACCUACUACCAGUGCUCUCCUGCUCCUUGUUCUGGUGCACACCCUGCCAUUAUUGCUGCUGCCUGCAUAGGUACGGGAAGGGAUGGACCAGCGGUUGGUAAUGGAACGCGAAACGGGGCUGACGGGGGGCUUACAGGGUGUGGAAAUGAGCGGGAGCGAGCCCCCGCCUAUCCAACAACGUACCUUACUUGGCAAUGACCCCGCCCUAGCGCUUGAGCCCGCCGCGACUAUCGCCGGUCAGGGGGUAAUGAUGGCCACGACUCCCGCCGUCCUGCACAGCACCGCACAGCAGGUUCAGGGCUGGGGAGAGACAGACUUGCAGCGCCCCGGCACACCGCAGUAGGCUGCGGCUCCUUCUGCAGCCACCCCACCAGCUGCAGCGCCGCUGCAGAGAGGACGAAGAAGAAAAUGAUGGUGUAAGUGCAAGGAUGCCGGAUGGUUUUCGUUCCCAAAAUGAAGUUUCCCGCAAGCUUUCCGGCAGUCCAGGACAGUCCAGAACUCACCGUUCACAUCCAGUCUCAUUUGUGCUGUGGUUGUCAAACGAGGUUGUCAAGUUGCGCCGGCUAACGGGGGAUCGCUCCCCUGCAGAAGAGGGGACAGGGGAAAUGCCACUCAGUGACGCCGCCGCACCGCUAGGGAACUGUUCGGGGGAACGGUAGCAGUCUCUGGCGAAAAGGGGGUGAGGGGACAGGGGCCACGCCACUCAGUGACGCCGCCGCACCGCAUCGCCCACGCUGCCGCUGAGUCCGGCGCCUCCUUCGCUGCUGCCGGUGCUACCCAGCCCGCCGCUUGUUGCUUCCGCUGUUGCCCGGAAACGAGCUGCUGCCACCUGUGCCUUCCAGCCCCGAACCUGCCGCGCACCGCAUACGCUAUACGCGCCCGUCUCGGCUGGGGAAUGUCGUUCAUCAGAACAAGGUGUCUCAACAUGUUUGAUGUGAUUGUUGGUAUUCUAUGAACGCGGACUGCGUCUAUGGAAGACAAUCAUUUCAUGGGCACGUACCCCCAUCCCGGCUAUG
rnacentral:lncRNA from 1 species